rnacentral:sRNA from 2 species
CCCGCCGUCAUCGGGGAGUAGCCGCCCGCGUCUCUCAGCGGGGUUUACGUCAACAUACUUUCCCUCGCCCGGAGGGAAUGGCGUGAUCUGGCCCAUCGGGCCAUGGCAAGACCGCUGGCUUCGCAGGGUGCU